AAGGAAAUAGCUCACUGGUAGAGCACACGCUUAGCAUGCAUGAGGUCCUGGGUUCAGUCCCCAGUACCUCUC
rnacentral:tRNA from 1 species